CCUGGUGUAGCGGUGGAAUGCGCAGAUAUCAGGAGGAACACCGAUGGCGAAGGCAGGUCUCUGGGCCAUUACUGACGCUGAGAAGCGAAAGCGUGGGGAGCGAACAGGAUUAGAUACCCUGGUAGUCCACGCCGUAAACGUUGGGCGCUAGGUGUGGGUCCCAUUCCACGGGGUCCGUGCCGCAGCUAACGCAUUAAGCGCCCCGCCUGGGGAGUACGGCCGCAAGGCUAAAACUCAAAGGAAUUGACGGGGGCCCGCACAAGCGGCGGAGCAUGCGGAUUAAUUCGAUGCAACGCGAAGAACCUUACCAAGGCUUGACAUACACCGGACGACUGCAGAGAUGUGGUUUCCCUUUGUGGCUGGUGUACAGGUGGUGCAUGGUUGUCGUCAGCUCGUGUCGUGAGAUGUUGGGUUAAGUCCCGCAACGAGCGCAACCCUCGUUCCAUGUUGCCAGCAACACCUUUUAGGUGGUUGGGGACUCAUGGGAGACUGCCGGGGUCAACUCGGAGGAAGGUGGGGAUGACGUCAAAUCAUCAUGCCCCUUACGUCUUGGGCUUCACGCAUGCUACAAUGGCCGGUACAAAGGGCUGCGAUCCCGUGAGGGGGAGCGAAUCCCAGAAAGCCGGUCUCAGUUCGGAUUGGGGUCUGCAACUCGACCCCAUGAAGUCGGAGUCGCUAGUAAUCGCAGAUCAGCAACGCUGCGGUGAAUACGUUCCCGGGCCUUGUACACACCGCCCGUCAAGUCACGAAAGUCGGUAACACCCGAAGCCGGUGAGCCCAACCCUUGUGGAGGAGCUUCGUAUAGUGAAACCCCUCCGA
rnacentral:rRNA from 1 species